UGGGGAAUAUUGCACAAUGGGCGAAAGCCUGAUGCAGCAACGCCGCGUGAGCGAUGAAGGCCUUCGGGUCGUAAAGCUCUGUCCUAAGGGAAGAAUUUUGACGGUACCUUGGGAGGAAGCCCCGGCUAACUACGUGCCAGCAGCCGCGGUAAUACGUAGGGGGCAAGCGUUAUCCGGAAUCACUGGGCGUAAAGGGUGCGUAGGCGGCCUUUCAAGUCAGAGGUGAAAGGCUACGGCUCAACCGUAGUAAGCCUUUGAAACUGUAGGGCUUGAGUGCAGGAGAGGAAAGUGGAAUUCCUAGUGUAGCGGUGAAAUGCGUAGAUAUUAGGAGGAACACCAGUGGCGAAGGCGACUUUCUGGACUGUAACUGACGCUGAGGCACGAAAGUGUGGGGAGCAAACA
rnacentral:rRNA from 1 species